rnacentral:other from 1 species
UACAGCCUGCCGUAUGCGUGAGGAUGGAUUAAGUAUUGAGCCAACACCAACGAAAAGGGAGUCUGGACUCCUGAAGUGGAUUGCAGGCCUGCACAAUUGUAGCAGGAAGCGUGAAACUUUGGGGAGGACACCCACCUGCCGAGAGCAGGUUCAAUCUAUCCAUCCAGCGGUACGGUGGGUUUUUU